rnacentral:rRNA from 1 species
GGGAAAAGGGGGGGCAGCUAACACAUGCAAGUCGAGCGGAAACGAGUUAACUGAACCUUCGGGGAACGUUAACGGCGUCGAGCGGCGGACGGGUGAGUAAUGCCUGGGAAAUUGCCCUGAUGUGGGGGAUAACCAUUGGAAACGAUGGCUAAUACCGCAUAAUAGCUUCGGCUCAAAGAGGGGGACCUUCGGGCCUCUCGCGUCAGGAUAUGCCCAGGUGGGAUUAGCUAGUUGGUGAGGUAAUGGCUCACCAAGGCGACGAUCCCUAGCUGGUCUGAGAGGAUGAUCAGCCACACUGGAACUGAGACACGGUCCAGACUCCUACGGGAGGCAGCAGUGGGGAAUAUUGCACAAUGGGCGCAAGCCUGAUGCAGCCAUGCCGCGUGUAUGAAGAAGGCCUUCGGGUUGUAAAGUACUUUCAGCAGUGAGGAAGGUGGGUAUGUUAAUAGCAUACACAUUUGACGUUAGCUGCAGAAGAAGCACCGGCUAACUCCGUGCCAGCAGCCGCGGUAAUACGGAGGGUGCGAGCGUUAAUCGGAAUUACUGGGCGUAAAGCGCAUGCAGGUGGUUUGUUAAGUCAGAUGUGAAAGCCCGGGGCUCAACCUCGGAAUUGCAUUUGAAACUGGCAAACUAGAGUACUGUAGAGGGGGGUAGAAUUUCAGGUGUAGCGGUGAAAUGCGUAGAGAUCUGAAGGAAUACCGGUGGCGAAGGCGGCCCCCUGGACAGAUACUGACACUCAGAUGCGAAAGCGUGGGGAGCAAACAGGAUUAGAUACCCUGGUAGUCCACGCCGUAAACGAUGUCUACUUGGAGGUUGUGGCCUUGAGCCGUGGCUUUCGGAGCUAACGCGUUAAGUAGACCGCCUGGGGAGUACGGUCGCAAGAUUAAAACUCAAAUGAAUUGACGGGGGCCCGCACAAGCGGUGGAGCAUGUGGUUUAAUUCGAUGCAACGCGAAAGAACCUUACCUACUCUUGACAUCUACAGAAGCCAACGGAGACGCAGGUGUGCCUUCGGGAAC